rnacentral:rRNA from 1 species
CGUGGAUAACCUACCUAUAAGACUGGGAUAACUUCGGGAAACCGGAGCUAAUACCGGAUAAUAUUUUGAACCGCAUGGUUCAAAAGUGAAAGACGGUCUUGCUGUCACUUAUAGAUGGAUCCGCGCUGCAUUAGCUAGUUGGUAAGGUAACGGCUUACCAAGGCAACGAUGCAUAGCCGACCUGAGAGGGUGAUCGGCCACACUGGAACUGAGACACGGUCCAGACUCCUACGGGAGGCAGCAGUAGGGAAUCUUCCGCAAUGGGCGAAAGCCUGACGGAGCAACGCCGCGUGAGUGAUGAAGGUCUUCGGAUCGUAAAACUCUGUUAUUAGGGAAGAACAUAUGUGUAAGUAACUGUGCACAUCUUGACGGUACCUAAUCAGAAAGCCACGGCUAACUACGUGCCAGCAGCCGCGGUAAUACGUAGGUGGCAAGCGUUAUCCGGAAUUAUUGGGCGUAAAGCGCGCGUAGGCGGUUUUUUAAGUCUGAUGUGAAAGCCCACGGCUCAACCGUGGAGGGUCAUUGGAAACUGGAAAACUUGAGUGCAGAAGAGGAAAGUGGAAUUCCAUGUGUAGCGGUGAAAUGCGCAGAGAUAUGGAGGAACACCAGUGGCGAAGGCGACUUUCUGGUCUGUAACUGACGCUGAUGUGCGAAAGCGUGGGGAUCAAACAGGAUUAGAUACCCUGGUAGUCCACGCCGUAAACGAUGAGUGCUAAGUGUUAGGGGGUUUCCGCCCCUUAGUGCUGCAGCUAACGCAUUAAGCACUCCGCCUGGGGAGUACGACCGCAAGGUUGAAACUCAAAGGAAUUGACGGGGACCCGCACAAGCGGUGGAGCAUGUGGUUUAAUUCGAAGCAACGCGAAGAACCUUACCAAAUCUUGACAUCCUUUGACAACUCUAGAGA